rnacentral:tRNA from 2 species
AAAAUCCGUCGACUUUAAAAAUCGUGAGGGUUCAAGUUCUAUCCCCA